GGUGUCUGCGUGUGUGUGUGCGCGCGUGCGUUUGUGUGUGUGCGCACCAGAAUAUUGUUUGUAUAAGUCAUAAUAUUUACGCAGAGGACGCCCGGGGAGUGAAGUGGAUUUCUCUGCCGGACUCUGAGCGCACAACUUCGGGUGCAGGAUGCAUGGACUUGAGCUGCAAGGACCUUACUGCAGGCACCAUUGGAACGAUGCAUUGAAGCAAGCUGGCUCUGUCCCACACACCGAGUGGAAGCGAGUUAUUGGUGCCCCACCCUGUGGCUCAGCACACCUCACAUGCAGGGCCUCCCCAUCACGGUGUGACUGAGUUGCUAUUGAGCCAUCAAUAAUAGGAGAGGAGUCAAAAACCGCAGUGGAGAAGACAGGAAGAGACUUGGUGGACCACCACAGCAGACUGGAGUGGGCAGGCAUGCGGCUUUGGCCACAGGAAGCUGUGAAUUCUUUGGAGAAUGGAAGAUGUCUUGCUAGUCCCCCCCCCCAACCCCCCUCUCCCAUCUACACCCCACCACCGCCCAUACGCUUACCCCAGAAUGACCCCUGACCCAUCUGUAUGUUUAUAUCAGAGCGUGGAAGUGAGAAAUAGUGAUGAGUCACUCUGGCCGUGUGUUUACACUCCAGAGUCACGCAAGGAAGGAAAUCAGCCACGGUCUGCUACAAGUGGCGAGCUGGGAGACAGAAUAGCUGCCACAGAGGCGCACCUUUCUAUAAGCGGGAGUUUAGGAUUUCCUUUACCUGAGAUCUGCUGUAAACGCUGUAGGCCUACAAAACAUGCUAAACACUAUUUCCAAUGUACUCAUUAUACAUGUUUUGGCACCAUUACAGUGGAAGUGCACCUCUGUUUUUUUCCAUUGCAUGCAAUUCUAACCAUAUCAGUAUUUCUAGAGUGCCCAAGGUCCAGAGGGGAUCGAGCUUUUGCAGUAGCAACGCUCUCCCUCUGAAUCUCAGCCCUGCAACAUCUCUUGAGACUUUUAAAUCUUCAUUAAAAACACACUUAUUUGCGCUGGCGUUUUACUACAAGCUGAGCUGGACAUUUUAGUUUUUAUUUAUGUCUUUUCACUAUUGUUAUGGAUAUUCCUUUUUUUAUUU